AUGGCCGCCGCCGCCUCCUCCGCCUCCUCCGUCCACGACUUCACCGUCAAGGAUGCGAGUGGAAAAGAUGUCGACCUGAGCACCUACAAGGGGAAGGUUCUCCUCAUUGUCAAUGUUGCAUCCCAGUGCACGGAACUCGCUCAAUUGUACACGGAACUCGCUCAAUUGUACGAGAAGUACAAGGACCAGGGUUUUGAGAUCCUUGCUUUCCCAUGCAACCAGUUUGGUGGGCAGGAACCCGGCACUAAUGAGGAAAUUGUUCAGUUUGCUUGCACUCGCUUUAAGGCCGAGUAUCCAAUUUUUGACAAGGUUGAUGUCAAUGGUGACAAUGUUGCACCUGUCUACAAGUUUCUGAAGUCCAGAAAAGGCAGUCUCUUCGGGGACAACAUCAAAUGGAACUUCUCCAAGUUCUUGGUUGACAAGGAGGGGCAUGUUGUGGAUCGCUACGCGCCAACCACCUCCCCCCUCAGCAUCGAGAAGGACAUCAAGAAGCUGCUCGCGAGUUCUUAA
rnacentral:rRNA from 1 species